AUACUUACCUGGCACGGAGAUACCGGAUUCACGAAGGGGCGGUUCUCACAGGCGAGGCUCACCAUUGCACUCUCCUGGUGGGCGCUGACCCCUGCGAUUAACCCAAAUGUGGUUAUACGACGUGUGCAAAUUUUUGUUAGCGGGGAAAUGCGUUCGCGCUAUCCCCCU